CUGCGGUAGAGACUGCGGGAUGCAGGAGUUUGCGGCGCUGCGAUGAAGGAUGAGGCAACGUAUGCGCGUGUGUAUGCGUGUUGCUGUGCACGUAUCGAGAUUUCGAGCUGCCGUGGAGGGUGGCAGGAGGAGUUUCACGUGCAAUGUGUGCUGUGACUUUGUCUCUCUCUCUCUCUCGAAGGGAGUGGGGCGCGACAUGCGCUGGUACAUCUGCCGGCACAAAGACGCACAGAGCAGCAGCAACAGCAGCGGCAGCAACCCCCACAAAGUGUCCACACACGCCGGCCUCAUGCCUGAACUGCCCGCCCAUCCUCCCUUUGAAGAAGCACACUAAUACACACACACACACACACAAACCGACCCUCGACCCCCCACCCCUCCCAGUCUGCACCGCUUUCCUCCUCCACCUUCUCCUAUUGACUUCGCCGGGCUCUCGUGACCGUUGGCAUGUGUAACAUACUCAGUGGAUGCUGCGCGUGACAUGCAUUUUCUUUGCCCUUAUUUUUCAGGCUCGCUCCGUUACACAUGGCGUGUCGGCUGUCGUCAUAUUUGGCGUCCCCUCGUGACAUGGGACUCAACUCGUUGAGGUGGACCCUUUUUCUUUUGCUGUUGUUUUUGCACGAGAAAUAAGCCUAUCACAUCGCAUCAAACAACGAAGGGGAGAGUGGUGGUGGCGGUGGUGGUGGUGGUGGUGGUGCGGGAAGGGGCUGAAGCGCAAACAGAGGCAAACUCACGCAUCACCACUGUGUACCUUCUUUCCUUGACAUAAAAUGGGGCAGGGUAUCAAGAAGAAGAGAGGCAUUCAAACUAUGCUUCCUUCGCCAGACGAAAGCAGUCUUCAGAGUGAAUGUGUGCCCUAAUAGGAGG
rnacentral:misc_RNA from 1 species